AUGAUCAUAGUACCUGUUGUCCUUACAGGCGUGUAUGACUGAAAUACCAGAAGCAAAAGCAAAUGAGAGGAGUUCUUAUUUACAGCACCUCUAGCUGCACAUCUCUUCUUGGAAUAGCACAGACAGGGACGAGAAGACUGGUGCCUUUGAAGAAAGCGAUGUGAAAAGGGCAUUGGCACAGAUUUUAUAUUCUGAAGACAGUGCUGGGUGAAUGAGAAGGUUUUUUGACAAGCUGCCACUAUUAAGCACUCAUGGAUAGAGCUCACCUUUUUGGAGGAGUGAGCAAU